AGUCGAGCGGGGAAAGGUAGCUUGCUACUGGACCUAGCGGCGGACGGGUGAGUAAUGCUUAGGAAUCUGCCUAUUAGUGGGGGACAACGUUCCGAAAGGAACGCUAAUACCGCAUACGCCCUACGGGGGAAAGCAGGGGAUCUUCGGACCUUGCGCUAAUAGAUGAGCCUAAGUCGGAUUAGCUAGUUGGUGGGGUAAAGGCCUACCAAGGCGACGAUCUGUAGCGGGUCUGAGAGGAUGAUCCGCCACACUGGGACUGAGACACGGCCCAGACUCCUACGGGAGGCAGCAGUGGGGAAUAUUGGACAAUGGGCGGAAGCCUGAUCCAGCCAUGCCGCGUGUGUGAAGAAGGCCUUUUGGUUGUAAAGCACUUUAAGCGAGGAGGAGGCUCCUUUAGUUAAUACCUAAAGUGAGUGGACGUUACUCGCAGAAUAAGCACCGGCUAACUCUGUGCCAGCAGCCGCGGUAAUACAGAGGGUGCGAGCGUUAAUCGGAUUUACUGGGCGUAAAGCGUGCGUAGGCGGCUUUUUAAGUCGGAUGUGAAAUCCCUGAGCUUAACUUAGGAAUUGCAUUCGAUACUGGAAAGCUAGAGUAUGGGAGAGGAUGGUAGAAUUCCAGGUGUAGCGGUGAAAUGCGUAGAGAUCUGGAGGAAUACCGAUGGCGAAGGCAGCCAUCUGGCCUAAUACUGACGCUGAGGUACGAAAGCAUGGGGAGCAAACAGGAUUAGAUACCCUGGUAGUCCAUGCCGUAAACGAUGUCUACUAGCCGUUGGGGCCUUUGAGGCUUUAGUGGCGCAGCUAACGCGAUAAGUAGACCGCCUGGGGAGUACGGUCGCAAGACUAAAACUCAAAUGAAUUGACGGGGGCCCGCACAAGCGGUGGAGCAUGUGGUUUAAUUCNAUGNNACGCGAANAANCUUACCUGGCCUUGACNUACUAANAACUUUCC
rnacentral:rRNA from 1 species